rnacentral:sRNA from 1 species
ACAGCUACAACCGCUCGAUUAGAAGUUUAUACAAGUCCUUUGAAAGGCACUUCGUUCGGCGAGUCUAAGUAUAUA